rnacentral:rRNA from 1 species
AACGAACGCUGGCGGCAGGCCUAACACAUGCAAGUCGAACGCCCCGCAAGGGGAGUGGCAGACGGGUGAGUAACACGUGGGAACCUACCUAGAGGUGCGGAAUAGCCCAGGGAAACUUGGAGUAAUACCGCAUGAGCCCGCAAGGGGAAAGAUUUAUCGCCUUUAGAUGGGCCCGCGUCUGAUUAGCUAGUUGGUGAGGUAAUGGCUCACCAAGGCGACGAUCAGUAGCUGGUUUGAGAGAAUGACCAGCCACACUGGGACUGAGACACGGCCCAGACUCCUACGGGAGGCAGCAGUGGGGAAUAUUGGACAAUGGGCGCAAGCCUGAUCCAGCCAUGCCGCGUGAGUGACGAAGGCCUUAGGGUUGUAAAGCUCUUUUGGCGGGGACGAUAAUGACGGUACCCGCAGAAUAAGCCCCGGCUAACUUCGUG